rnacentral:rRNA from 1 species
UACGGAGGGUGCGAGCGUUGUCCGGAAUCACUGGGCGUAAAGGGCGCGUAGGCGGCAUGCCAAGCGUGUGGUGAAAGCCCGGGGCUCAACCCCGGAAUUGCCUUUAAGACUGCAUCGCUAGAAUCCGGGAGAGGUGAGUGGAAUUCCGAGUGUAGAGGUGAAAUUCGUAGAUAUUCGGAAGAACACCAGUGGCGAAGGCGGCUCACUGGACCGGUAUUGACGCUGAGGUGCGAAAGCGUGGGGAGCAAACAGG